ACUACGACCAUCCCAUGUUGAAGCUAUUAGGGAUAUAGCCAACUAGAAGGAUAUCUCUAAUCACCUCGUUGCCGCUGCUAAGAGAUGUUUGUGUCAUCUAAGCUUUAAGUAACCUAGAGAAGCCUAUUUGAAUUUGUGGGACGAAUGUUGGGCAAAGCGGUGCUUACUCUAAAGGAUAAAUUGAAGGAGCUAAAAGUGCAUUCGGUGCUAGAAAUCAACAUCAAGUUAGGGCGGCACAAAAGGCGGUCGCCCAUGCAUGCGCGAUUCGUAGGAGAAAUUCGCGUGUGCUAUUUAACUUAGAGUAUUGAGAGUAUGACACGUCGCAUCAUCAAACUAAACUAAUACAACCAAAACGCGCCGAAAAACGAAAAAAAAAAAACCAAACUAAAAUUAAUCUGGCGAAACAUAAUUACGUGUGUUGCAAGGUAAUAAAAAUUGAGCUUAUUCUAUUAGCCUAAAAGGGUAUUUGAACAAUGUAGUCAUGUAUUUUUAUUAAUUCAAUUGUAAAUGAAAUAUAUGUAUUUUUCACAAAGAUUUGGUAUUAAUAAAUUUUUUUGAAGAUUCCUUAAAUGAACUGAAAACUUUGACAUUGUUCAGAUA